CGACCUGCCGGGACCCGCUGGCGACCCGCGGCGGCGCCGAUCGGCGGGGUGGGGACCCGGCCCGGCCCCUACACUACUUUCUUGACCAACGGGUCAGCUGCAGGCGCGGCGGGGUCUAGGAGUCGCGAGCGGAGAAAGGUUCUCCUAGCGGGAAAGUUGGGGACGGAGAGGCCUGGAGCUUCGUCCCUAUCAUAAACGGGCAAUUAGAGACUUUCGUAAACAAACUCCGGAAAGAGUUCGGGAAAGGACAGUUUUCAGACUCGGAGAGCGUGGGAAGUUCCAGGGAAGUGAAACGAAGAGAACACUUAAUAACAAUAGAAAUGGUGCCGGAAGCCAAGGGAGAAAAGUACCAGAUUGAAACUGAAACUGCUGGGAAGUUAACUGUAAAUUGAAACCCUGCAGCUUGGGAGCAAACACUGUUUGGACUUGGGGAAGGGGGGCGGGGGGAGAGAGAAGGAAAGUGGAUGGGAGAAGUGGCCAGUUCUCCGCCCGGGUGACGACUGUGAUUUUGAAAGAAGAGCAUAUUCCCCCCUGGACAGACACUGUGCUGGGUUCUGGGGAGACAAUGCUUCCUACCCCCAUGGAACCUACCUUGAAGAGACCAGUACCACGCAAAUUCAGUGUGCCUAAGAAUCACUUGAGUAUCUUGUUCAAAUACACAUCUGAUUGUGGAGAUCUGGCUGGGCUUGAGAUUCUGCGUCUUAAACUCGGUGAUCCUUCUGGUCUAUAGAUACCACUUUGAGGAGCAAGUCUAGAGGACGAUACAGAUAAUGAUCAUCAAGCAUGUCUGUACUUUUUUUAACUGCAAGAAACAGGCAGUGGGGCUUCCCUGGUGGUGCAGUGGUUGAGAAUCUGCCUGCCAAUGCAGGGGACACGGGUUCGAGCCCUGGUCUAGGAAGAUCCCACAUGCCGCGGAGCAACUAGGCCCGUGAGCCACAACUACUGAGCCUGCGCAUCUGGAGCCUGUGCUCCGCAACAAGAGAGGCCGCGAUAGUGAGAGGCCCGCGCACCGCGAUGAAGAGUGGCCCCCGCCUGCCACAACUAGAGAAAGCCCUCGCACAGAAACGAAGACCCAACACAGCCAAAAAUAAAUAAAUAAAAUUAAAAAAAAAAAAAAAAGAAAGAAACAGGCAGUGGAACGGUUCAACAAGCAUCAGCGGAAUGAUGGAAAUAGGUCAGGACUACCUAUACAUUUGUUAUCUGAAUUAUUGAUUUUCAACAAGUAAGUAAAUCCAACUAGUUUAGAGCAUUUCAUUGAAGAAGCUAUUAGUAAAUGCUAUGUUAAUUAGAAUGCAGAAUAUCUAAUGAUAAACAAAAUGAUUUUUAGGUUGUCAAUGAGUAACUACUAGGAAGGUAAUUCAGUCUUGUUUAAGAGUUAGAAAGCAAUGAUUGUCCAAGUGUAAUCUGUGCAAAUAUAACCUCAGAAUCAAUUGAUGAGCUUAUUUAAAAUGCAGACCUGCCUGACCUCAGGUUAGUGAAUCACAAUCUGUGGGGUCCUAGCCUGGAAACAAACAUUUUAACAAACUUCUAUGAUAAUGUUGGUACACUAAUGGAGAGGAUGAAAAGGCACUUGAGAAGUGAUAUUUGACCUCAAGUAGCUUACACUCUAGUGAAAAAAAUAAAAUAUAUAUGAAUUAGUAGCAAAUAAUUGAAAAUGGAUUAUAAUUUAUUGUGCAAUUAUGUGACACAUGAAAAUAUUUUUACAAAAUAGCUAAGUGAAAAUAAUUUGUGCUUUGUAUACUUUCCCGGUUUAGUGUUGUAGUUCACAAUUUAAACAAUUUAGUUAGGGGAAGAAAAAGGAAAAGACCUCUUAAUUAUCAUCAGGAGACAAAAGAAACCUGCACCUUCAGGAUAAAUACGCUUAGGAAAAAAGGAUAAAAACAAUAAUAAUACAUACACAACUGACCCAGAGCUUAUACCCUGUGAAUGGGGCAGAGGCAGAGCUGAAAUGCAUGGUAAUCAUGAUCCAGAAGAGGCAGAAGAGGUAAAACAAAGACACAAUUGGUAAGAAGAGGGAAACAGGGAAUUAGAAGAUGUCUUGAGCAUCCGGAAGCUUUGAGCAUUACUGAUGCAAGCAGAAUUGUUAUCCAGCUGUGUGGAUAAUCAAUAGUUGCUUCCUCUGGAAGGGGAUACAAUUUCACGCUGCGUAGACUUGGAAAAUGAGGGAGGCUGAAUUCUUAAUUACCCUCAUUCGUGCCUAAUCUAAUCUAACUGCACCCACAAAGUGGAUUGAGUAUCACUGAUACAGAACUGUCAGCCUUGGAUUCCCGUUAGCGGGAAUGCUUCUGACUGGGACUCCCCUGGCCGUCCUCCUCAAACUCUCAGUUUGCUUCCUGCUUUUGAGCCUUUGCCCUUGCCCUUGACUCUGCCUAGAAUACUUUCUCCUGAUCUUUCCUUGUCUAGAUCCUUCUGGCUACACAAGUCUCAGAACAAAUGCUAUAUUCUCAGAAAGCACCCCCUGACUGUCCUGUCUCAAAUUGCCUGUCCCUACCCUCCAAAGGACUAUCUACCAUGAAAUCGACUGUGUUUAGUUGACUGACUUGUUAUCACCUACUUCCCCUUUUGAAGUCAAACUCCAUGUGAGCUCAGACCUUAUAGGCUUGUUCUCCGCUAUCCCCAGUGCCUGGACCCAUGGGGCUAGUCACAGAGCAGAUGAGAACACCAAAGCUGAAGGAGGUUAAGUUGUCUGCCUAAAUUCACAGCGCUAAUAAGUAAACUAGUCGCCACUGUAAUCCAAACCUUCUUAAUCUUCACCUAGUUCAUCACAGUCAUUGGUUGAUAAGAAAGCUUGACCAUGAAUCAGAAGAGAUCACAAACACUGGGCAUUUAAAUUCUGCCUCUUGUUUUUCUAUUAAAGUAUUUCUCUUUAACAGUAAACCUCCAGGGACUUCCCUGGCUGUCCAGUGGUUAGGACUCCCCGCUUCCACUGCAGGGGGCUUGGGUUCGAUCCCUGGUCAGGGAACUAAGAUCCUGCAAGCCACGCAGUGCGGCCAAAAACAAACAAACAAACAAAAAACAAAAAAACAAUCAACCUCCAUAUCUAAAAGUUUAGACGCUCAGAGGGAGAGGCUAGAAUGAGCACCCUUAGGAAUUAACGCUGUCCCAAGCUUUCUACUGUUCCUCUUGCUUCUCUUGGCCCUCCUGGGUCCCCUUUGCUGCUCCCCAUCCUGGAGCAGGCCAUUGCAAGCUCACUAACUCAUGCCUCUCCCCCUACACAGUCUCCAGCGUUCUCACAGCCCGUUCUCAGAGAUUUCGUCCCUGCACCACCCACAUUCCAAACCUCAGUGUGGAAUUUCCCCACGUCCACUUCCAUGUUCUCAAACUUCAAAUUUGUAUGUUUCAAAAGUGAACUCAUAGAGCAUCCACUCAACCUCCAGAUUUGAAGUCUCCAUACACAGCACCAUCCCCGAGACCCCCUCCAGAUGUUCAAGCAGGAGACCCGGGAUCCACCCUCCUCCCCUCCCUCUAUAGCACUUUCACGGCCAAUCUAUAUGAAGUCAUCCUGAACGCCCCUGGAGGCUCUUCCUUGCUCUCCACAUUCUGGGCCAGUCCCUCCUGCACCUGGGCCACAGCAGGGCUCCUCCCUGGCCUUCCCCUCCAUACUUGCCCCUCUUUCAUCUAUAGUCACUGCAGCCAGCCGGACUUUCUUUAAUGCUAAUUUUCCCUUGUCUCUUUUUAAAAUCUUUCUAUCCAUUGUCCACACUGCCUCCAGAGUGGUCAGGUUUUUAUUUUUAAAAGAUAGAAUUCCUUCCCUGUUCUAAAGUCUUUUGGCGGUCUCCAGAUGCCCCUAGAGUCAAAUCAAAUAUGAAAAACCACGUGCCACCCUAAGUGUCCAUCGACAGAUGAAUGGAUAAAGGAGAUGUGGCACAUAUAUACAAUGGAAUAUUACUCAGCCAUAAAAAGAAACGAAAUUGAGUUAUUUGUAGUGAGGUGGAUGGACCUAGAGUCUGUCAUACAGAGUGAAGUAAGUCAGAAAGAAAAACAAAUACCAUAUGCUAACACAUAUAUAUGGAAUCUAAAAAAAAAAAAAAAGAUUCUGAAGUACCUAGGGGCAGGACAGGAAUAAAGACGCAGACGUAGAGAAUGCACUUGAGGACAUGGGGAGCGGGAAGGGUAAGCUGGGACGAAGUGAGAGAGUGGCAUGGACAUAUAUACACUGCCAAAUGUAAAAUAGAUAGCUAGCGGGAAGCAGCCGCAUAGCACAGGGAGAUCAGCUUUGUGCUUUGUGACCACCUAGAGGGGUGGCAUA